rnacentral:rRNA from 1 species
UACGGAGGGUGCAAACGUUGCUCGGAAUCAUUGGGCGUAAAGCGCACGUAGGCGGCCCAGCAAGUCGGGUGUGAAAGCCCUCGGCUUAACCUGGAAAGUGCAGAGGGGACUGUUCAGCUAGAGGAUGGGAGAGGAGCGCGGAAUUCCCGGUGUAGCGGUGAAAUGCGUAGAGAUCGGGAGGAAGGCCGGUGGCGAAGGCGGCGCUCUGGAACAUUUCUGACGCUGAGGCUCGAAAGCGUGGGGAGCAAACAGG